CAGUACAUGAAUCACUCCUACUAAGAGAUCCUGAAAGAGGUCAUCAAAGCCACCAGAAACUAUUCCUGGACAGAGGAGGUUUUAUAGGUGUGGUUGGUCUCCUUACUGACGUGUCAACUACAAAUGCACAGGGUUCUGCCUGAAAUGUUUUAGUUGUUGCAGAUGUGUAGCUUCUAUAUGUAAAGUCUUCACUGCACGUGCUACAGAAACUUGAACUAUCUGAAGAGAGGAUGGAGUCAUCAGAUACUGGAUCCAGUCAAAAUAUUUGGAUGCUUUCAGAAACAUCUGCCUAGCUGAGAUGUGGGGAAGGAACAUAAAGCAUUUUCUCUCCCAGUCCCUGCUGAAAGGGUGAGCCUGUGGUCUAUAUAUAUAGGAAUGACUAAAGUUAAUUGUUAAGAAUUAUUUGAUAGGCAAAAAUAAAAGCUAAUGCUUUAUAUAGAAAAAAAAAAAAA
rnacentral:lncRNA from 1 species